UGUCUCAGCACAACCAUCUUCAACCAGCUCCCAUAAAUCUUGAGACAUGAAAAGAGUCUGCAUUUUGACAAUCCAGAAGUAGUACUUUUCGCCUGUAAAUAUUGGAAUUGAUGGCUGCACUGUUGAUAAUGAAUUUGCUGCCAUAUUCACUCAGCCUCACUCACUCAAACGCCCAGAAAAGGUGAAAGAACCAGGCUUUGAUACCAAAAUUGUUGAGAUCAGAUCAAU
rnacentral:lncRNA from 1 species